CUUUAAACUCGUGACAAUACUGUGUGUCCUUUCAUGGUGGAUUUGGCCGGGAUUUAUGACUGAUAUUCUUGGAACUGCAAUUCUCUGGAAAGGCCAAGGUUGGUAGUGAGGUUGGGGAGUGGGGCUGGGGCGAUUGCAGGGCUCAGACCAGCCCAUUUAGUCAAAAUAUCUAAUCCGGAAAGCUGCACACCAACCAGCUCACACACAUCCACAGCUGACUGUGGCCAACGAAUGGCCUGUCAGUUCAGUCCAGCAAUGGAUCGGUUAGAUGCACAAUGGGCCAGUCCAAUCAAAGCAGUCAUUUCAGUUAUAAAAAUGGCAGCGUGAAAAGGAACCACAGAAAAGCAGUAGCAGCAGUUCCGUUUUUGCAAAGUGACCGUGCAGCUUCCUUGACUGUGUACAGGGAAGCAACCAAGCAGUUUCCCAACACAAUUGCUCAGUCUGGUCCAGUCAAUCACUUGGCAGGUCUGGAGAUAGAAACCUAUAGAAAUGAUCCUGUGGUCCACUCUGAGCCCCUGUCUCAUGCUGUGGAACCUCAGAAUUAUCAUAUUGUCAGAACUGGUAGAGAGUGGGGCUUGAGAAUCAUGCAGCCUCACCCCUCCCUUAUCCCAGGGGUUACAGAAGAGCUUGGGGUCCUUACCGAAAUGCCAUGGCACUUCAGGAGACUCCCCUUCUCUCUCCGAGCUGAACAUCCCUCAGUGGCAGCAAGUUCUUCCUUGUGUCUAACCAGAGUCUCUCUCGCUGCAGGAGCAGUCUGGAUGCCCCUCGUCGUAGCCAGUCUCCAGAGAGGCCUACUGCUCACUGAAUGUGUGGAUGAGCAAACCUGAAUGGCCUGGAGGUUGCUGCUGUCUACCCCCACAGGGCCUCCUCCUUGGUCCCCUAAGCAGGCUUCAAAGCUCCAAGACUUCAUGCAGCCUUUUCUGGACUUGGAAGUCAAGAGAAAAUUCACAGAACUUUGGAAAACACGUUUUCUUUUAAGGAAGAAUUUUUUGUUUUCAUUUCAACAGCUCUGGCUGGUGAUGAGAGGUGAAGCGAGUUGCCCUGUUUUCCAUCCUAACACCUAUUUCUAGGUGGGGGCAGGGAGGGCUCCAACCUGAAAUGUUAUUUCAAAACCUUUCCGAGCCUUGCAGCUCCAUUUCCAGGCCACAUGCUACAAAGCACAGCACAAUUUCCCAUUAGGUGCUGUUGCCCUUUCUGUUCUGAGCACCUUUCAAAGUGGGAAGACCCAGCCUGCCCCACCACCCUCCCUCCUGUCCCCAUAAAUUAAGUCUCACUGCCUGAUGUGAGGCUUAAAUAAAUAGCCUUGCCCGGCACCCGAUGGCCACACUCCUGAUAGAUGGGCUUGCCAAGAGCAGCAAACUCAACUCGCUCCUCCGGGCCCCUCCACAGACAGAAGAUGAAACUGGUGUUUUGCAAAUGCUUCCUGCCUGCUUUCUGCCAGCCAAGGCACAUUCCAAGAAGGAGCAGCCCAGCAAAGUCUUGUCAUCUGACGGGGUGAGGACAGAGAUGGAUGACGCGCUCCCUGCCAGAGAAGGCCACGUUCAGACACUCCCAGAUAGCCAGCUGCCACUUUAUUAAGAGCAAAGAUCUCCAUCUGAACCAGGCUGGGAAAGAAAAUAUUUAUGCUUGCCUGUCAGGAGGACCUUCAUUUUUCUUCUGGGGAGCCAGCCAGGGUACUGGCCCAGGGAUGGAGGAGUGUGACGUGCCUGUGGGGUUGCCCCAGGCCCUUCUGCAGCCCAGGGUUGAUGAAGAGUCAAAAAUAUUCCCAGGGCAGCUCUGGAUGGGUUUGGGAGAUUUCAGAAGAGCUGGACUUAGACAGGUCAGGGCCUGAAAAACCAGAACACACCCUGGCACCUGUUAACUGUUAAUGAGAGGACCUGGGCUUGGGAGUGGGUGCUACAGUUAGAAAUCAGGUACAGAUGGGCCAUAAAAUGAUCUCAUUAUUAAUUAAAAACAAAUAGCAGCAUGAAUCUGAUAAGCAACUUUGUACUAAGAAUAAAAUAAUUUUGUAUUGUCAGAAAACGUCAACACUAGAGCGGAGCUUGUCUUUUAAGCUGGGCAUGUAUUAGAAUAAGUUUAUAUUAUGACUUUUCUCAUGGUCAUUAUUUUGAACAAAAGUUGAAAGCCAGUUCUUUAACGGCUUCCGAGAUGCCUGUGCAUCAGCACUUGGGAAAACCUUGCCACACUCUGGGAGACAGCUGUACCCAAUUAUAGUGAGUGAGUCAUAAGGUGCUAGGCUUAGUCCCUAGCACCUUAGGAGUGGAGGCUCCUAAGUCCCUCGCCCUAGGGAGUGGAGGCUUUGGCCAUACAAGAGUGACAGGAUCGUUCUUUUAGACCCCAGUGAGGUUCUUCUCCCCCAGCUCUGAAUGCUGGAUUAUUUGUUAUCCCGACAGAGUGUGCACAUUGGAGUCAGCAGACCUGGGUUCGAAUCCCAGCUCCAUCACUU
ensembl:lncRNA